rnacentral:rRNA from 1 species
CCUACGGGUGGCAGCAGUGAGGAAUAUUGGUCAAUGGGCGCGAGCCUGAACCAGCCAAGUAGCGUGAAGGAUGACUGCCCUACGGGUUGUAAACUUCUUUUAUAAAAGAAUAAAGUGAGGCACGUGUGCUUUUUUGUAUGUACUUUAUGAAUAAGGAUCGGCUAACUCCGUGCCAGCAGCCGCGGUAAUACGGAGGAUCCGAGCGUUAUCCGGAUUUAUUGGGUUUAAAGGGAGCGUAGAUGGGUUGUUAAGUUAGUUGUGAAAGUUUGGAGCUUAACCGUAAAAUUGCAAUUGAUACUGGCGGUCUAGAGUACAGUUGAGGUAGGCGGAAUGUAUGGUGUAGCGGUGAAAUGCUUAGAGAUCACGCAGAACUCCGAUUGCGAAGGCAGCUUAGUAAACUGCCACUGACAUUGAUGCUCGAAAGUGUGGGUAUCAAACAGGAUUAGAUACCCCUGUAGUC